UUACACCUAACUCGCCAGAGAACUACGAGCAAUGCUUAAAACUCAAAGGACUUGACGGUUCCCCAUAUCCACCUAGAGGAGCCUGUCCUAUAAUUGAUAACCCCCACUAAACCUCACCCCUUUUAGCUUAUCAGCCUGUAUACUUCCGUCGUCAACCUACCACGUGAGCGCAACUCAGUAGGUUCUAUCGCCUAACCCGUACAAACGCCAGGUCAAGGUGCAGCAAAUAAAGGGGGAAGAGAUGGGCUACAUUCUCUAGCAUAGAGCAUACGAAAGGCUAUAUGAAACCCUAGCCAGAAGGCGGAUUUAGUAGUAAAGAGUGAAUAGAGUGCACUCUUUAACAAGGCACUGGAGUGCGUACACACCGCCCGUCACCCUCCUCAAAGCCCUCACACUAGUACUUAACACCCUGAUAACUUAAAGAGGAGGCAAGUCGUAACAU
rnacentral:rRNA from 1 species